rnacentral:rRNA from 1 species
AGUGAACGCUGGCGGUAGGCCUAACACAUGCAAGUCGAACGGCAGCACAGUAGAGCUUGCUCUUCCGGGUGGCGAGUGGCGGACGGGUGAGGGAUACAUCGGAAUCUACUUUUUCGUGGGGGAUAACGUAGGGAAACUUACGCUAAUACCGCAUACGACCUACGGGUGAAAGCAGGGGAUCUUCGGACCUUGCGCGAUUGAAUGAGCCGAUGUCGGAUUAGCUAGUUGGCGGGGUAAAGGCCCACCAAGGCGACGAUCCGUAGCUGGUCUGAGAGGAUGAUCAGCCACACUGGAACUGAGACACGGUCCAGACUCCUACGGGAGGCAGCAGUGGGGAAUAUUGGACAAUGGGCGCAAGCCUGAUCCAGCCAUACCGCGUGGGUGAAGAAGGCCUUCGGGUUGUAAAGCCCUUUUGUUGGGAAAGAAAAGCAGCGGGUUAAUACCCCGCUGUUCUGACGGUACCCAAAGAAUAAGCACCGGCUAACUUCGU